UAAUACGGAGAGUGCAAGCGUUGUUCGGAAUUACUGGGCUUAAAGAGCGUGUAGGCGGAGUGUCAGGUGCCGUGUGUAGGCCCCGGGCUCAACCCGGGGAUUGCUCGGCAAACCGGCACUCUUGAGGUAGGCAGAGGUGACUGGAACAACUGGUGGAGCGGUGAAAUGUGUAGAUAUCAGUUGGAACGCCGGCGGCGAAAGCGGGUCACUGGGCCUGUCCUGACGCUGAGACGCGAAAGCGUGGGUAGCGAACAGGAUUAGGUACCCUGGUAGUCCACGCCGUAAACGAUGCGCACUAGGUAUGAGAGGUGCUGACGCCGAUCGUGCCGAAGCAAAAGUGAUAAGUGCGCCGCCUGGGGAGUACGGCCGCAAGGCUA
rnacentral:rRNA from 1 species